rnacentral:rRNA from 1 species
GCAAGUCGAGCGGUAAGGCCAUUCGGGGUACACGAGCGGCGAACGGGUGAGUAACACGUGAGCAAUCUGCCCUGCACUUUGGGAUAACCACCGGAAACGGUGGCUAAUACCGGAUAUGACUGCCUGUGGCAUCGCGGGUGGUGGAAAGUUCUGGCGGUGCAGGAUGAGCUCGCGGCCUAUCAGCUUGUUGGUGAGGUAAUGGCUCACCAAGGCUUCGACGGGUAGCCGGCCUGAGAGGGUGACC